rnacentral:tRNA from 1 species
GAGGUUAUAGCUCAGUGGUAGAGCGCAUGCUUGGCAUGUAUGAGGUCCUGGGUUCAACCCCCAUUACCUCC